GAAUCUACACUCUAAAAUAUGCCUACAUACAUCCGUAUGCAGUAGUCAUUUGAAAUGUCUAGAAAGACAAGUAUUUGGGAACGGAGGGAGUAGAUACAAUGGACUAUAAUUAGUUUGCUUUUCUAUUUCUGGGUAACCUUCUUAUGCCAUCAUUUUCUGAGUAUUUUUAUGCUGCAGGUAUCUGGUGCAGAGCCGAUGGAGAGAAGCAACAUCAUGAUGCUGCUAAAUCUUAGUGGUCUUUCUUUCACUAUGGUGAUCUGCUUCUUAUCUGUUCUAGGUGUCACUGUCAUAGCUUGCUUAGCAUUACUCAGAUAUACGCUAGGCAGUGGUUACCUUCCUUCUUUUGAAGGUUGUAAACACACAUUUAAGUCACACAUACACCAUACAAGGUAUUGAAUAACAUAUCCUCUAAUUUUUACAGGCGUCUUUUUGUUUUCCAGAAUUUUUGGUUAUAGCAUGCUACUUCUAUCUCUUGGAUAUAUAAGCUAAACUCAACUAGAAGUAGUAUUUGCUAAUUAUCUAUUUGCAAUUCAAUUGUUUAGUUAUUUUAGGGCCGUUAGUUCAUUGAUUUAAUGACUUGUACCUUUGUUGGGUACAUUGCAGAUGAGCCUUUGGUAUAUGCAGCCACACUCCCUUGCCGCCACCUGCUACUUCAAGUCCGCCGACGCCCACAUUGGAAACUAGGGCUUCUCCAUAGCCCACGUCAAUCUCCACCUCGCCCUCCUCGCUG
rnacentral:lncRNA from 1 species